ACACACACACACACACACACACACACACACACACAAAAGCAGCUGAUGGGGUUCUCACAAAAUGAAGAAGUUUCUGCAUAUUAGAUCUUGUGUGGUUAAUGCCAAAGACGUCAAACUAUGUUCCUGUUUGUAAGGAGUCAAGUAUGCAAGGCUGCAUACUCUGCAGAAAAAGACUUCCUUUUAACAUCUUGGACGCAUCUUCAGUGUGAACUGUCAUAGUCUUCCUGAACCAUGAGCAAGUGCUGCUAUCGUCUUCAAUCAUCACUAUUAAGGAUCUAGUCUGGUGCUUUCUGAGGAAAAUCCAGUGACUGUUCUCCCAUGAGACAUCAUUCAAACAAUGUCAUGUGCUUCACGCCAACUAUCAUCCUCUUAUGGUCAUCCCAUGGGAGGAAGGGCUAUCCUGGGUUCUGACGUCAGGCUUUAUGGCCUCAGUGUUGAGAGGGUAACAACAACUGGCCGUGAUGUCACGAUUGGAGGAGUGUGGUGUUUUUGUUCAGCUCAUUCCCCUGGAGAGGAUACAAUGUCUGAGAUGUUCAAAAGAAAGUUUGUGUCGAAGCAGUCGGAAAGAGACAUAGGGGAAAGAACAAGAGGCACAUGAUGGAUAAAAAGUUGUGACGAUGCACCAAGACAGGAUAAGAGAUGAAGAUGAUGUCUUUAAUGACUCUAAGCUCUACAAUAUUUUUUACCCAUUUUUGGCAAGUUGUUAUUUUUGUUAAAGUUUUUUAGCACCAUUAUUUGUUGUUGCCUCCUGUGUUUUUUCUUUUGGCACGUGCUGAGGUGCUGGUUUCCUCGAAUAACACACUCUAAGACUUUUGGCGAGGGGAUGUGACUUUGUGGAAUUAUGGCCUGUUUGCUACCGAUAAACAGGGUUAAACAGAGGACAACCUCCCUCCUCCUUCACGACCACAACCCAUUGGGCCUCUACCACCACCUUCUUCCCAACCCCCAGCCCAACCCACCCACAGGCUCGCAGCAAACUGCUACUUCAGAGGAAGUCCUGCUGGUCCCGUGUCGAAGGACAGCAAAACAGGCCAUUCUGGGGCCAAACACCCCCUCAUCUGCACGUCUCUCUCUCUCUUCCCCCCUGUGUCUAUCCAUCUAUUCCUCUGUUCCUCCUUCUCAACUCUCUCCCUGUUUGUUUUUCAUUGAAAGGAAACCUGAAACCUGUCGGGUUUGUUUUCCUCCUCCUCUUGGCCAAGUGCCUGCUUUUACAGCCCAGGUGUUGGCGAAUAGGGAAUCGUCUUUCAGAAAAACAUGAGGCAGAUCAUUCGGUCACGGGGGGUGGGGGGGUGUAGGGGAGGGAGGCCUACAUGGCUGAAUGUUGAUGUCUCUGUGAUCUUUGGAUGUUUUCAUUGUUCAAACCGGUUGGUCAGUCUGUCAGCUUCCAGUCAAACAGUCAAAAACGCAUUCUUCUUUGCUGACGUACUUUGAACCCAGAGUCACGGCAUCUUGUUGUGUUCCACACUAUUCACAUAGCUGCAAAUGUUUUUAAAAUAAAAAAGACAAGACUAUUUUAAACUAACAUUUGUCCUACAUAGUCCUCGGAAAGGACUUACCUACAGACUUUUUGCAUAGCAUUAGCAAACUUUGUAAGAAAUCUCAGCUGAAACAAGGAAGCAUUUUUGCUUAAUCAAAAUAGUUUUGUUAAUAGUUCAGCUAGCAAGUCAAACUUGAGCUGACUAAUAGUUUCUGUUGUUGUAUGUUUUUUUAGUAUGUCAGGCAACAUUUCUCUUAUUUAUCUGUUGUACUGGUUCGGUGGAAUUAUUUUUUCCUUAGAAGUGGGGGAACAAACAUCCUAUGCCAGAACUGCAAUACAGAAUCUCUUUUCCUUUACAGAUGGGCACUGUCAGAUUAGACAAUCACAGAGUCAUAAAUUCCUGCCUUUACCGGGCCAAGGGACACAGCAGUCUACAACGUGAACACCAACCAAUCAUAACUUGUCAUCGUCUGUGACUUGCAUGACUUUAACAUGUGAGUGGACCAUACUCACUGUUGUGCCUGACGACACCAUCCAUGUGGUCACAAACAGUAUAUGAACACGGUUUUAUGAAUACGUGUUUGUUGUUUUCUGAAUAUAUGGCACUGGAUAUGAAGUAUGUUUUAAAUUCAUUUUACAGAUGCUAUAUGUAAGUUUUUGCUAUUGCUGCAUAGCCAAUGUAAGCAUUAGCGGCUGUUUUCCUACCAAGAGCUUUAGUCAUCAUUGCAUUGUUGGAGAGCAGACUGUACGCUACAGUGACUCACUAUCACAAAGGGGUAUUACGACAGACUGGGGUUAUGCAGGGAUAACAGGCAUUCUAAGUUCACUAAGGGAAAUGUGAUAGAAAUAGGAUCAAAGGAAGACUUAAUGCUUCCCACCACUAGAGAGCUAUGGUUAUGUAGCGAUGGUAAAAACUUACACAUAGCACCUUUAACAGGAUCAAUAGGUUUUUCUCAACUUUGUAGAUAAUAAUUUUCACCUGAGGGAAAAUCUUGUCCUAUAACAUAACAGGAAAUGUUAUUCAUGUAACAUAAUCUAAAAUGUUUACACACAUGUCAAACAUGACACGUGUGCUCUUUUAUGAGAUGUGAACUUCUUCCUCAGUGAUUCCUUUACAUGAAAAGGAAGCUUUUCCUAUAAUGUAGUAGGGAACUAUUCCUGCUGAUAUGACAAAGAAAUGCCUUCUUACAUUAUCAGGACUUUUUCCUCCUCUUUGUUUUUACCCAAACCAACCUUUGUGUGUUGCAAAUAAAAAGAGAAGUAAAAGUCUGUCACCAA